CCUACGGGAGGCAGCAGUGAGGAAUAUUGGUCAAUGGCCGAGAGGCUGAACCCGCCAAGUCGCGUGAGGGAAGACGGCCCUACGGGUUGUAAACCUCUUUUGUCGGGGAGCAAAGCGCACCACGUGUUGUUCAUUGAGAGUACCCGAAGAAACAGCAUAGGCUAACUCCGUGCCAGCAGCCGCGGUAAUACGGAGGAUGCGAGCUUUAUCCGGAUUUAUUGGGUUUAACGGGUGCGCAGGCGGAGGUGCAAGUCAGCGGUCAAAUUGCGGGGCUCAACACCGUACUGCCGUUGAAACUGCAUCCCUUGAGUGCGCGAGAAGUAUGCGGAAGGCGUGGUGGAGCGGUGAAAUGCAUAGAGAUCACGCAGAACUCCGAGUGCGAAGGCAGCAUACCGGCGCGCAACUGACGCUCAUGCACGAAAGCGUGGGUAUCGAACAGGAUUAGAUACCCGAGUAGUC
rnacentral:rRNA from 1 species